UAGAACUCUGUAGUGUUGAUGCUGUGCUAGUGUAUAGCUGAGUUACAUAUAUUAAAUAUAUAUAUUUAGUUUAGAAUUAAAGAUUUGGAAUAUUUACUGGAAUUGGGGGGAUCAAGGGGUUCCUGGGAUGGGAAUAGAAGUCUGUAGCGUUGCUGCUGUGUUGGUGUAGUAGUGAUGUGUACACAGGUUGUUCGGCAGAUACACUGUGUGUCUGUACAUACCCGUGUGGGUGGCUAGUACAUCAUUUCAGUACUGCAAACACAUCACGUGGGAGCAAUGAAGUGUCCCGGUGUAGGGGGGGAUUUUAUGUACAAUCUGUGGUUUGAGCUCCAUUUACUGACAGUUUUGCUGAGUGGCCGGGUGCUUUGCAUAUUAUAUGGAGGUGGGCUGUAUGUCCUCAGCACGCUGGGAGUUCUAGUUCAACACCCUGGUUCCUUGCCUUUUUUUCUCCCAAAAACUACACUUGGAACAUUUCUCAACGGGGCCCAGGGCUUGGUGGCGAAUGCUGGGACCUGUAGUUCACCAAGCUGAGCUGCUUUUAUGGAUCAUUUUCUUUAUUUUGUUUCCAGGCCGGUGGUGAAAGCAAAGAGCGUGGAACAUUGUGUGAGCGAGUCGGUGCCAGACCUGCAAGCUGUGUGUCACGGCACCACUCCUUAGAGCUAGUGCUGCCUUCUCCACCGCUUUGAAGCUUUGAAGAAGUUUGAAAGAUCACAGCAAUCCCGCCGCGGUGUGUCAGGGGACAAGAACUGCUGGUGAUAAGCUCGUUCUGCAAAAAAAAACAAAAAAACAACAGAUUUGGAAAUAUUGACUAUGUGAAUACGGGCGAUUCUGUUUAAUCUUUUAAAAGGGAUGAAACGUCAUCUUACAGAGUUAAAGGAGUGCGUUAGAAUCUCUGAAAAGAGGGUGGAUUUGUAGAUUCAGAUACUGGCACAGUGACGUCUACAUUUGAACUAUCAGGCAACAGACAUGAAGAAACCAUUCAGGUCUAAAUGAUAUGCUUAUGUGGUAUCAGCCUAGAUCUGGACUUGAAUGGUCAACCGCAUUACUGAGAUCUGUUUUGGUAAGUAAUACUUCAAAUAUUUGCGCUUUUGUCCC